rnacentral:rRNA from 1 species
GUGGGGAAUUUUGGACAAUGGGCGCAAGCCUGAUCCAGCAAUGCCGCGUGAGUGAUGAAGGCCUUAGGGUUGUAAAGCUCUUUCGUCAGGGAAGAUAAUGACGGUACCUGAAGAAGAAGCCCCGGCUAACUUCGUGCCAGCAGCCGCGGUAAUACGAAGGGGGCUAGCGUUGCUCGGAAUCACUGGGCGUAAAGCGCACGUAGGCGGCUUUCUAAGUCAGGGGUGAAAUCCUGGAGCUCAACUCCAGAACUGCCUUUGAUACUGGAGAGCUUGAGUUCGGGAGAGGUGAGUGGAACUGCGAGUGUAGAGGUGAAAUUCGUAGAUAUUCGCAAGAACACCAGUGGCGAAGGCGGCUCACUGGCCCGAUACUGACGCUGAGGUGCGAAAGCGUGGGGAGCAAACAGGAUUAGAUACCCGUGUAGUCC